UAGGGAAUCUUCGGCAAUGGGGGCAACCCUGACCGAGCAACGCCGCGUGAGUGAAGAAGGUUUUCGGAUCGUAAAGCUCUGUUGUAAGAGAAGAACGUGUGUGAGAGUGGAAAGUUCACACAGUGACGGUAACUUACCAGAAAGGGACGGCUAACUACGUGCCAGCAGCCGCGGUAAUACGUAGGUCCCGAGCGUUGUCCGGAUGUAUUGGGCGUAAAGCGAGCGCAGGCGGUUUAAUAAGUCUGAAGUUAAAGGCAGUGGCUUAACCAUUGUUCGCUUUGGAAACUGUAAAACUUGAGUGCAGAAGGGGAGAGUGGAAUUCCAUGUGUAGCGGUGAAAUGCGUAGAUAUAUGGAGGAACACCGGUGGCGAAAGCGGCUCUCUGGUCUGUACCUGACGCUGAGGCUCGAAAGCGUGGGGAGCAAACAGG
rnacentral:rRNA from 1 species